UUGGGCUAGCCGCUGAAGCUCUCCAGUCCCCUUUCUGUUCUAGAAGACGCCAACUCUCCAUCUUGCUCUGCUCUCACCCUCCUACCUCCAUUCCCACUUCUUAGUCCGUGCUCCCUGGUGCCGUUCACUGUCCCACUCCGAGCUGGCAUGGUUGGACCUCACGAGCCAUAGCAUCGCUGUCGUUCGCUCUCUAGCUCCGAGCUCGCACCGUCGCGCACCAUCCCAGUCUCCCAGAUCUAAUCCCAGUCUCCCAGAUCAAAUCUCUCCUCCUCCUUAGUAGUCCUCAUCUGGCUCCUGCGUCGUCAAUAGGUAAGCUUUUUGCUCCUGUCGUUCACUCUCUAGCUCCGAGCUCGCACGGUCGCGCACCAUCUCAGUCUCCCAGAUCUAAUCUCUCCUCCUCCUUAGUAGUCCUCAUCUAGCUCCUGCGUCGUCAAUAGUUUUUAAUCCUCUAUCAAAUCUUAGUUCGAUGUCAUACCUAAAGAUGUCUCGCAGUUGUCCUCUUCUUCCUGUUGACCAAGAAGAACACGAACGCUCCAACAUUGCUUGCGAGAUAAGUUCUAGGUCAUCCCACCAGAGUGGCGGAGUGAUUCCCAAGUACAAGGUCACGGAUUCAAUGGGUUCUCUUGGGAUUGCAUUCAAAAAACUGAUCAAACUCAAGCUGCCUUCCAAGUUGGAAAGUGAUGCAGCAAGAUUCAUAAUCUACAAUAAAGAUUUUCGUAAGUUUUUCAUAUUGAUUAGACGCAAACAAAACGUCCUUAAAUUCCUCAAGAAUUACAGCAGAAAACAAUUCCUCAAAUUCCUCAAAUAUCUCAAGAGGAGAAAGAGAAAUAGCAGAAGAAAAGGCCGGGCUUGGGUUCUCUCAGAAAGCUUUCUCAACGUCCCUCAGAAGCCCUAAAUCAUGUCCGUCCAAUCAAUCCAAGAGGUUAGAAAGAAACACCUCAUGCACCUUUUAAAGUUGCAUGGCCACCCUUUGUAUUGUUAUAAUCAUCGGGUUAUCUCUGCCUUUUUUAAAGCUUCCGAACAUUGUUGCAAUCCCUGCACCAAAAGAAGUAGGUGUUAUCUUUGAAAAAUGCUAAAUGCUCUGUUUGGAAAAUGCUAAAUCUUUAAAGAAAAAUUACACACAGGUCCAGAAGACAAUAUCUUGAAAA